GCCCUAUCUCCCCUCUUGUGAGGUGGGGCGAUCGCGGGGCGGUCAAAUGUUGGAAAUAUGCCCUAGAGGCAAUAAUAAAAUGGUUAUUAUCAUAUUUCCUUGUUCAUGAUAAUCGUCUAUUGUUCAUGCUAUAAUUGUAUUAACAGAAAACAGUAAUACAUGUGUGAAUAAAUAGAUUGCAAUGUGUCCCUAGCAAGCCUCUAGUUGGCUAGUGAUGGGGUUAUAGUCCCAAGGUAGGGUCAUAGGCCUGCCCUAUAGGUCCUACCCAAGGACUACCCUUCAUAAGGGACAAGGCCCUUAGACAGUUCCGACUGAAUUAAGGACUUCCCAUCAUCCAGUCGGUGACGAUUCCCCCAUCAUCCAGUCGGGCACGAGCAUUCAGAGCGUAUUAAACUUACCGACUGGAUUCCACUUUGUAUAUCGUAACCUCCCUGGAGGGCAACGGUCAUACGUUUU
rnacentral:lncRNA from 1 species